rnacentral:lncRNA from 1 species
GUUGAAUAAGGUGCGGCUCAUGGGGCACAACUGCUGGGAAAAAAACAGGCAGACCUCCAGACGGCUCUGGGUGCAGCAUGUUUAAAGACACGGACGUUGACAUUAUGGAUGGCAGACCAAAUAAAUACCCUGAGAUUAAGCGGAGGAACACAAUGGAACAUUCUGGAAUUUCUCAAAAGUUAUGAGAUCGCAGAGGACGGUUAAUUAAGGCACAGCGCUUCCUCAUAUUGCAUUGUAUAGGAACAAUUGCAUCCCUUGUAAGUGUGCUGAAGAUGUGACGAGCCCACUGGAAGACCUCGCCUUUAGCCCCCUCCUGGAGGACAUGCACUUGCCAGGGAUUGUCUUCUGAAUGCAUUCAUUGUCUCGCCGGGCUUUUCAGUUAAAACACACACGUGGUGACAGACUGAGAUCUUCAACCUGUUAACAGAUUGUGGGGAACCUCACGCAAGCAUUCGGAAAUCUUUCUUGGUGGACUAGGUUACUAUAAGAAUUAUUUUCUGAUGUUUGAUGCUGAAACACACAUUAAUAACACUUAUUGUACUGUGACAAUGGGAAGGAAAAAAAUACAAGUAGAUUCAUGUAGGUAGGCAUUUCAACUCAUUUUAGCCUCACGCCACCCCUUUCCUUUUUCCACACCUCCAUGUUAAGCGAGAGCAAUAUCUGUUAAUAUCGAAACAGUUUUCAGAAACCUCAACCAAUAUUGGCAGCUAAGC